GACGAACGCUGGCGGCGUGCUUAACACAUGCAAGUCGAACGGAAAGGCUCCAGCUUGCUGGAGUACUCGAGUGGCGAACGGGUGAGUAACACGUGGGUAAUCUGCCCUGCACUCUGGGAUAAGCCUGGGAAACUGGGUCUAAUACUGGAUAUGACCUUUCUCCUUAUGGGGGUUGGUGGAAAGUUUUCCGGGGUAGGAUGAGCCCGCGGCCGAUCAGCUUGUUGGGGGGGUGAUGGCCUACCAAGGCGCAGACGGGUAGCCGGCCUGAGAGGGUGAUCGGCCACGUUGGGACUGAGAUACGGCCCAGACUCCUACGGGAGGCAGCAGUGGGGAAUAUUGCACAAUGGGCGGAAGCCUGAUGCAGCGACGCCGCGUGAGGGAUGACGGCCUUCGGGUUGUAAACCUCUUUCAGCAGGGACGAAGCGUAAGUGACGGUACCUGCAGAAGAAGCACCGGCUAACUACGUGCCAGCCGCCGCGGUAA
rnacentral:rRNA from 1 species